AAACUGAUGAAACAGAAAGAACCAUUUUAUCCACUGCUCCCCCCACGGGGGAUGCACUGAGCCGCUGGCCUCGCUCCAAGGCCCCGAGAGAGGCCAAGACUUCUCCACCUUCUCAUUUGGCUUCCACUCAACAGAACAGCUGGAGAAGUGGCACCUCGAGGGCUCCCGACUAUUUUUAUGUGGCCAUCUGCCCUCCAGACCGGGCCUGGCAGGCAGCGACAAGCCAGAGGAAUGCCACAGCAGGUGGGCGACGCCCCGACAGCUGACACCCAGCCCUGCUCCUGACUGCUGUCCUGGGGACACGGGAAGUGAGGUGUGAGGAUGGCAAGAGGAGAGAGAACGCCUUUUACACGUCACAGUGUGGCGUGAUGUGUGUGCCCUUGAUUCGCUGUCUAUUUCUAGAAGGAGCUGAGUUCUGCCCUGCCGUGGCCAGGGGAGCAGAGUGCGCCAGCCGGACGCAUUGGCCAGCUGCUGACCUCAGUCACCCAGAGGAGAGGGCCUUGCAAAUGCUCUGCAGAGACGGGGCCCCAAAGAAAGCCUGGGCCUCCGCUUGUCGUAAAGGGUGCUUACUUCCAAGCACUGAUGGAUGCCUGCUGUGCGCCACGCUCCUUCCAGGCUGUGUGCUUGGAUCAUGGAACAGCACCCGCCAGCUCAGAGGGGCCAGGACGAGGUGGGUCGAGACGAGACAUUUAUGGAGCACCUUCUGUGUGGAGAGGCUGGGUGCUGGCCGGUGAUGGGAUGGUGUCAAGAGAAGGCGGCUGCAUGGAAAACAGGUUUGCCGUAGCCUGAAAAAGCCAAGGGUAGCGCUGAGCUCUCACAGACUCAUUGCAGGAUACGACGUAACCUAAUUACACCAUUAAAUUAAUGUUGUUAAUUUGAA